rnacentral:lncRNA from 10 species
CAGGUUCCACUAGUGUCUCCUUAUCUUAUGCCACAGUCGGCCUGCCUGACAUUUUCUACUAGGGCAUGUCCUGAAGCUAUUCAUUUGUUUAAGCCUUAUCUCAGCUCACUGCAAGCUCCACCUCCUGGGUUCACGCCAUUCUCGUGCCUCAGCCUCCCGACUAGCUGGGACUACAGGCACCCGCCACUUUUCUUAAAUGAAUUCUGAUUGAAAGAUACAUUGUUAAAUGUAAAAAAAAAAAAAAAAAAGUCAGACUAUUGGCCACUAGAGUAAGAGCCCAUUAAAAAGGAUGAAGAAAAAAACUGAAACAAAAAAAUAAGCAUGUGUCUGGAUAGAAGUUUUCUGAAAACACACAAAAGAAACCACUACAAGUG